UAGGGAAUCUUCGGCAAUGGACGAAAGUCUGACCGAGCAACGCCGCGUGAGUGAAGAAGGUUUUCGGAUCGUAAAACUCUGUUGUUAGAGAAGAACAAGGACGUUAGUAACUGAACGUCCCCUGACGGUAUCUAACCAGAAAGCCACGGCUAACUACGUGCCAGCAGCCGCGGUAAUACGUAGGUGGCAAGCGUUGUCCGGAUUUAUUGGGCGUAAAGCGAGCGCAGGCGGUUUCUUAAGUCUGAUGUGAAAGCCCCCGGCUCAACCGGGGAGGGUCAUUGGAAACUGGGAGACUUGAGUGCAGAAGAGGAGAGUGGAAUUCCAUGUGUAGCGGUGAAAUGCGUAGAUAUAUGGAGGAAAACCAGUGGCGAAGGCGGCGCUCUGGUCUGUAACUGACGCUGAGGCUCGAAAGCGUGGGGAGCAAACAGG
rnacentral:rRNA from 1 species